rnacentral:rRNA from 1 species
UACAGAGGGGGCAAGCGUUGUUCGGAAUUACUGGGCGUAAAGGGCGCGUAGGCGGCCUUCUAAGUCGAACGUGAAAUCCCUGGGCUCAACCCAGGAACUGCGUCCGAUACUGAAAGGCUUGAAUCCGGGAGAGGGAUGCGGAAUUCCAGGUGUAGCGGUGAAAUGCGUAGAUAUCGGGAGGAACACCAGUGGCGAAGGCGAUCUUCUGGACGGAUACUGACGCUGAGGCGCGAAAGCUAGGGGAGCAAACGGG